UUUACACUUUCCAUCUACCCAUUUUUUUAUCCUCAAUUGGGUGGCGGUUGAGCUGGCGUCACUCCCAGCUGAUUUGGGGCGAGAGGCAGGGCUAUCUAACGUGGCCAGUAUAUUAGGCCUGUACACUGUCCUGCCUGGAGCGAAGAAAAAAAGUUAAAAAAA